ensembl:ncRNA lncRNA:CR45667 long non-coding RNA:CR45667
UAUGCAGCGGAUAAUACUACAAUUCCUGACACAUUUAUGCUCCUUUUGCCGUUGAAAACUCCGUUAUCCACUCUCCCACAUUUCAACUGCUAUUGCGAAUCAUCCCAAGCUUACCGUCUAACCCGUCGUCCUUUUGCGCUUACCGUUUACCGGCCGAAGUUUUUGAUCACGUCGGUUUGAAUGUAAAAAUUACCUCCUGCGUCGGUGAGAGGUUUUAAAAGUGUUUUAAAACCUGUUCUUAAAUCGGUUUCGGCAUAAUACAUAUAUAAAACCUGCGCGUUUGUGAAAAAU